rnacentral:tRNA from 1 species
CGGGGUGUGGCGCAGUCUGGUAGCGCGCGUCGUUUGGGACGACGAGGCCCCGGGUUCGAGUCCCGGCACCCCGA